GACGUAGGGCGCGAGCGUUGUCCGGAUUUAUUGGGCGUAAAGAGCUCGUAGGCGGCUUGUCGCGUCGUCCGUGAAAACCUGGGGCUCAACCCCAGGCUUGCGGUCGAUACGGGCAGGCUCGAGUUCGGUAGGGGAGACUGGAAUUCCUGGUGUAGCGGUGAAAUGCGCAGAUAUCAGGAGGAACACCGGUGGCGAAGGCGGGUCUCUGGGCCGAUACUGACGCUGAGGAGCGAAAGCGUGGGGAGCGAAUGGG
rnacentral:rRNA from 1 species